rnacentral:rRNA from 1 species
UACGGAGGGUGCAAGCGUUGUCCGGAAUCACUGGGCGUAAAGGGCGCGUAGGCGGCUCAUGAAGGCUGUGGUGAAAGUCCGGGGCUCAACCUCGGAUCGGCCGUGGCGACUCGUGGGCUGGAGCACUGUAGAGGCGGGUGGAAUUCCGGGUGUAGCGGUGGAAUGCGUAGAGAUCCGGAAGAACACCAGUGGCGAAGGCGGGUCUCUGGACAGUUCCUGACACUGAGGCACGAAGGCCAGGGGAGCAAACGGG